rnacentral:lncRNA from 10 species
GAGCUUGGACGCAAGGCUUCCAUGAGGCUGUGAAGGAGGUUGCACGGAAACUGGUGGGGAUCUGAAAAGCUUUUAGUGGCCUCGCCACACACAGCACUUCAGAUGCUCAGGUGAUGAGCAACAUUUUCCAAACCCAGCUAGUGAGCACCCCACCUCCUCUGGCUUCCAGAACCUGGUGUGGAGGGCCAGGAGAGGCUUCGGGACUGAAGGGCAGAGCAGCAGACUCCGGGGCUCAUGUAGGAAGGAACAUGCCUUCAGCCAAAGAUUAUCCACGCUGCAUGGAGACUCUUGCUAAAUAUCACUGAUGGAAUCUCACUCUGUCGCCCACGCUGCAGUGCAGCGGCAUGAUGUCGGCUCACUGCAACCUCCACCUCUCGGGUUCAAGUGAUUCUCCUGCCUCAGCCUCCUGAGUAGCUGGUAUUAUAGGCGUGCGCCACCACACCCUGCUAAUUUUUGUAUCUUUAGUAAAGAUGGGGUUUCAC